rnacentral:rRNA from 1 species
AUUGAACGCUGGCGGCAUGCUUUACACAUGCAAGUCGAACGGUAACAGGCCUUCGGGUGCUGUCGAGUGGCGAACGGGUGAGUAAUGCAUCGGAACGUGCCCAAUCGUGGGGGAUAACGUAGCGAAAGUUACGCUAAUACCGCAUAUUCUGUGAGCAGGAAAGCAGGGGAUCGCAAGACCUUGCGCUCUGGGAGCGGCCGAUGUCGGAUUAGCUAGUUGGUGGGGUAAAGGCCUACCAAGGCGACGAUCCGUAGCGGGUCUGAGAGGAUGAUCCGCCACACUGGGACUGAGACACGGCCCAGACUCCUACGGGAGGCAGCAGUGGGGAAUAUUGGGCAAUGGACGAAAGUCUGACCCAGCCACGCCGCGUGAAGGAUGACUGCCCUAUGGGUUGUAAACUUCUUUUGUAUGGGAAGAAAAUUCCGAACGUGUUCGGAGCUGACGGUACCAUAAGAAUAAGCAUCGGCUAACUCCGUGCCAGCAGCCGCGGUAAAGUAGUCG